GACGUAGGGCGCAAGCGUUGUCCGGAUUUAUUGGGCGUAAAGAGCUACGUAGGCGGCUUGUCGCGUCGACUGUGAAAACCCGCGGCUCAACCCGGUGUGGUCUGGCAGUCGAUACGGGCAGGCUAGAGUUCGGUAGGGGGAGACGUGGAAUUCCGUGGUGUAGCGGUGAAAUGCGCGAUAUCAGGAGGGACACCGGUGGCGAAAGCGACGGACUGGAUCUCUUCUGACGCUGAGGCGCGAAAGCCAGGGGAGGCAAACGGG
rnacentral:rRNA from 1 species